GCAGGGGAGCGGCGGGCGGGUGAUGAGGACCGGGCUGGCGGAGAAAACACAGCGCCCCACUGGACGAGGAGACAAGCCUGGGACCGAGUCCUGCUGCCACAUGCCACCCCUGGACAGAGGCCCCGCCCCCGGCUGUUCCUUAGCCCUGGGGCAAAGAGCGUCCACAGGCCCAGCAGCUCUGGCAUCCGCUGGCUGUGUGACCUUAGGCAAGUAACUUAACCUCUCUGAGACUCAGUCUCCUGAAGAUAACAGUAGAGGGGAUUACACGAAGUAAUGCAUGACACCUGCUCGGACUGGUGCCUCAGUCAUGAUAACAGCGGUAAAUGCCCUGCCUCGCCUGCUCUCUCUGGCUGCGCUCACUCCACAUGGUCAGUGGGGGGACAGAAGAGCUCCCAGUCUCCGGGUGCAAGCACCAGCAGGGGAGGCUGGGAAAUGCAGUUGGACACAUGACCCUGGGACCAUCUGAGGUACCAGGCCCGUGCCAGGAGGCAGCUCCCCCAGGAACUGGCCGAGUUCCCAGGUUGAAGUUGCCUUGAAGUUUGACGACUAAAGAAGAAAAAAGUUUUCCUCUAUUUUGUUGUUACCUCGAUCCAGAGUUUGAGCUGGUAGCGUCAAGAUUUUAAACAUCCUGGACAGGACUUCCUCAACUAGAGUGUUCUGGCAAAUGCAAAUAUGAAACUGGAGAGGACUGUCACAGAAGGAGAAGUCCCAGCUCCAGGCUGAGGUGGGCCGAGCGGUGGGUACCCUGAAGAGGCCCAAACUUUCGGGGCUCCAUCAACCAGAAACCAAACCUCCCCCAGAUUUGGGGGCUGGCAGGCAGCUGCUCACAUUUUUAUCUAGCCAAACAAGAAUAUAAAAUCAUAACCAUCCUAUGAGAAAACUCUCAUUUCAGAAAAGAAAGGAAAAAGAAUCAAGAAAAGACCAUCUUUUUUGAAUUAAGGGAAUUUAACGUGAAAAAGUAACUACAUCAUCCUCUGUUUUUCCCGUUUUGCCGCAGCUGGGUAAAAACCUCAUCACGAACCUGUCAGCUUACCAGCUUUUGCAAGUCACCAGGCAGGACCGAGGCCUGGGGGCUGGAUGCCAGAACUCACUGUGCUGUUGCAUGGGUUGGGGGGCUGGUAUCCCCCGUGCCAGGUGGAGCAGACACACAGCAGCCCGGGUUUGCAUCCAGAGCCCACCUCUUGUUAGCUAUGGGGUCCUGCAGAAGGCCCCCAGUGCCUGGGUUUCCCCGUGUUUGAAAUGGCAGUGGUCGCCGUGCGCGCCUCACAGACCUGCGUCGAGGCCAUAUGUCUGGCACACAGCGCAUGCUCACUCAGUGUUUGUCUCGCUUUUUCAGCGGGGCUCCCAUGCCCCUCGCAUGUCUGUGUAGGUUCAAAUGAGUCCAGGGACAGGAACGAUCUUUGGGGACAGGAAGCAUCUAGGCCAGUGAGCAGAGACACGGUGGAUUCGGCUCCUGGCAGCACAGGAGCCGGGCGGGCCCUGUGGCUGCAACAGCUCCGUGAAGUCCCCGGAGAUCACGCCCAGCUCCGCUUCCCUGGAGCUGAGACUUUAUUUAGCAAAGACCCUCAGCAGACACCGGGGACAGGAGAGGGGGCUGUGGGAACGGAGGCCCAGCCCCCCCGCAGGGAGGGGCCCUGCCCCUGAUGGAGCGUUUCCCAGGUCUGGACCCUGACACAGGGGCCACCGAGGGACCCGGCAAGGCUGAAUCCCCCACUCCACACACACACACACACACACACACACACACACACACACACACACACACACUCUCUGACAUUCUCUUCACUUUGAGCACAAGGGGCCUCUGAACACUGACUCUGGUCAGUGAGUGUGUGUGCAGCUGUGCGUACGCACCUGGGUGGAUGUGCACCCGUACAGGUGUGUGCAGCACUCUGUGCGCAUGUGCGGCUGUGUCAGUGUGUUUGUGGGUACAUGCACGCAUUUAGAAGUCGGUUCUGACAUCUCUCUCUCCUUUUCCACCCAGCCUCCGCCUCCUUUCCCUCCCUUUUCCCUUUUCUAUAAUGAAAAGAGAAAAGCAGCAGAGGGGACCAGAAAAGGGGGAGCCUGGGAGUCACACAGACCUGGAUCCGAAUCCCAGCUCUGCCAGUUCCCAACCCGGGAAUAUCGAGCAAGUCACUUGGACCCUCUGAGCUGCAGUGUCUCAUCUGUGUGAUGAAAGUGUUCGCCCAACGUAGCUUAUAGUAGGAAAAACGCGGAAUUCAGAGCGCCGGGGAACGGAACUGCUCUGCAGCCUCUGGGCUCAGAUGGCUGGGUUCCUGGCCCGUUCCAUCGGUUUCUCACAGAGGGACCUUGGGUGGUUCCUCACCCUCUCUGAACUCAUUUUACAGAGGUUCUGCAAGGGUUAAAUGAGUGACAUAGGUAACGCUCUUAGAACACAUGGCACGUAGUAGGAGCUUUAUAGAGGGCAGAUAUUAAAAUGUGUAUCAAAAAGCAUUUAGAGGGCUUCCCUGGUGGCACAGUGGUUAAGAAUCCGCCUGCCAAUGCAGGGGACACGGGUUCAAGCCCUGGUCCGGGAAGAUCCCACAUGCCGCGGAGCAACUAAGCCCAUGAGCCACAUCUAUUGAGCCCGCGUGCCGCAACUACUGAAGCCCGCAUGCCUGGAGCCCAUGCUCCACAACAAGAGAAGCCACCUGAGCGCCAAAACGAAGAGUAGCCCCCGCUCGCCGCAACUAGAGAAAGCCCGCGUGCAGCAACGAAGACCCCAACACAGCCAAAAAUGAAAACAAACAAAUAAAUUUAUUUUUUUUUAAAAGCGUUUAGAGGAAAAGAGAGAAAACAAGAAAGCAUUUAGACUUUUUUGGAGGGAUGGAAACGUUCUGAAAUUGGACUGUGCAGAUGGUUGCGCAACUCUGUAAAUUUACUCAAAACCAUUAAAUCGUACACUUGAAACCGUUGAA